rnacentral:rRNA from 1 species
GUUCGGGUUGUCAUGCCAAUGGCACUGCCCGGUAGCUAAAUGCGGAAGAGAUAAGUGCUGAAAGCAUCUAAGCACGAAACUUGCCCCGAGAUGAGUUCUCCCUGAGACUUAAAGUCUCCUGAAGGAACGUUGAAGACGACGACGUUGAUAGGCCGGGUGUGUAAGCGCAGCGAUGCGUUGAGCUAACCGGUACUAAUGAACCGUGAGGCUUAACCUU